rnacentral:rRNA from 1 species
AUUGAACGCUGGCGGCAGGCCUAACACAUGCAAGUCGAACGGUAACAGGAAACAGCUUGCUGUUUCGCUGACGAGUGGCGGACGGGUGAGUAAUGUCUGGGAAACUGCCUGAUGGAGGGGGAUAACUACUGGAAACGGUAGCUAAUACCGCAUAACGUCGCAAGACCAAAGAGGGGGACCCUCGGGCCUCUUGCCAUCGGAUGUGCCCAGAUGGGAUUAGCUUGUUGGUGGGGUAACGGCUCACCAAGGCGACGAUUCCUAGCUGGUCUGAGAGGAUGACCAGCCACACUGGAACUGAGACACGGUCCAGACUCCUACGGGAGGCAGCAGUGGGGAAUAUUGCACAAUGGGCGCAAGCCUGAUGCAGCCAUGCCGCGUGUAUGAAGAAGGCCUUCGGGUUGUAAAGUACUUUCAGCGGGGAGGAAGGGAGUAAAGUUAAUACCUUUGCUCAUUGACGUUACCCGCAGAAGAAGCACCGGCUAACUCCGUG